UCCGAAGGGUGCAAGCGUUCCUCGUCCUUCCUUUUCUUCCCUCUUUCUUAGGUGGUUUGUUAAGUCUGAUGUGAAAGCCCUGGGCUCAACCUGGGAACUGCAUUGGAAACUGGCUGACUAGAGUGCGGUAGAGGGGUGUGGAAUUCCCGGUGUAGCAGUGAAAUGCGUAGAUAUCGGGAGGAACAUCUGUGGCGAAGGCGACACCCUGGACCAGCACUGACACUGAGGCACG
rnacentral:rRNA from 1 species